UACAGAGGGUGCAAGCGUUAAUCGGAAUUACUGGGCGUAAAGCGAGCGUAGGCGGUUAUUUAAGUCGGAUGUGAAAUCCCCGGGCUCAACCUGGGAAUUGCAUUCGAUACUGGAUAGCUAGAGUUCGGCAGAGGGAAGCGGAAUUUCGGGUGUAGCGGUGAAAUGCGUAGAUAUCCGAAGGAACAUCAGUGGCGAAAGCGGCUUCCUGGACCAGAACUGACGAUCAGGCUCGAAAGCGUGGGGAGCAAACAGG
rnacentral:rRNA from 1 species